rnacentral:rRNA from 1 species
UACGAAGGGGGCUAGCGUUGUUCGGAAUUACUGGGCGUAAAGCGCACGCAGGCGGCUCGAUAAAUUAGAAGUGAAAGCCCCGGGCUUAACCUGGGAAUUGCUUUUAAGACUGUCGGGCUAGAAUCCAGAAGAGGGUAGUGGAAUUCCGAGUGUAGAGGUGAAAUUCGUAGAUAUUCGGAAGAACACCAGUGGCGAAGGCGGCUACCUGGUCUGGCAUUGACGCUCAUGUGCGAAAGCGUGGGGAGCAAACAGG